rnacentral:sRNA from 1 species
GGGGCGGAGGUGGUGGUCACGGGGUUGCGGAACCCGUGUCCGCAGAUUAAUCGCUUUCGGAGCGGGUUGGUGGAGAAGUUCGUUGUGCGCGGGCCGGAUGGGCGGAUUGUCGCGCGCAAGGCCGGGGUGAUGGGCAUUGUGGAGAGGGGCGGGGUUGUGAGGCCUGGUAUGCGGAUUUUGGUGAGAGGCCGCCCGUGCAUGAGGCGUUGAGUGUGUUUAGUAUUAGUGGUGUUCUUUCGGGGCGGUGGUUUUUCUUUUUCUUUUUGAUGUGAAUGUUUCGUUUCGUUUUGUUUUCCCGGCUUGGAAGUCGAUUCCACAUUGUUUUUAUUUUUUGAAGGAUAUCAGCAUGCCAUGCUCCUUGCUAAAGCAGGGUGCGGAGAUAUUCGAGAUUCUCUGGAGAGUGAAUCCGCAGUUCCCCCGGCGUCACAGGAAGAGAAUGCUCAGCGUGAAGGAAUUAACCCGGCCGGCACAGCUGUAUCAUGAAAAUGCACAUAAUACCAAACGCCUUCCCAAUUUAUAGAGCAACAGAGAAAACUCUUGAUGUGCUCCCCACGUUUUCUUCAUGAUUUGUCUUUCGGGUGGCUGCCGUUGUCGCUAUUUUCUGGCAAUCUUUUCGAUAUAGGGCCCAGCCCUAUCAUACCGGAGAAACUAUCCUGUUUGAUUGAUAGAGAAAUACAAGAGGUCAUUAGCAAGCUGGGUCAGUGAGAAGGAAUGGAUUUACUCAUGGAAACGCAGUUGCAAACUUAGCGUAAGGAACGGAAACAACCGGCGUGAUCGUGGAGGGUAUACGCAUAUACAAUUCAACCUUGAUAGGUAGGUAGGUGGGUAGGUAGGAGGAAACACUGCUUGGAAAGGAAGUUUUGAGAGGAUGAAAAACGUACGUGCAUGAUAUAUAUCCCUAUUAUCGUCGUUCCGGGAGUGAUUUCUGUCUUUCCCAUCUUUUUGCGAACCAGUGGCCCGGGCGGGAACCUCAGUUGGGGAAUUGCAUUUGGCUGAAAGGUGAAUUGUCGGUUGCGGUUUGUUGCGACCUAUUCGCACAUUGUUGUAAGCUUGAUGUCCUAGUGUAAAGGGG